rnacentral:rRNA from 1 species
AGUGAACGCUGGCGGUAGGCCUAACACAUGCAAGUCGAACGGCAGCACAGUAAGAGCUUGCUCUUACGGGUGGCGAGUGGCGGACGGGUGAGGAAUACAUCGGAAUCUACUUUUUCGUGGGGGAUAACGUAGGGAAACUUACGCUAAUACCGCAUACGACCUACGGGUGAAAGCAGGGGAUCUUCGGACCUUGCGCGAUUGAAUGAGCCGAUGUCGGAUUAGCUAGUUGGCGGGGUAAAGGCCCACCAAGGCGACGAUCCGUAGCUGGUCUGAGAGGAUGGUCCGCCACACUGGAACUGGGACACGGGCCAGACUCCUACGGGAGGCCGCAGUGGGGAAUAUUGGACAAUGGGCGCAAGCCUGAUCCAGCCAUACCGCGUGGGUGAAGAAGGCCUUCGGGUUGUAAAGCCCUUUUGUUGGGAAAGAAAAGCAGCAGGUUAAUACCCCGCUGUUCUGACGGUACCCAAAGAAUAAGCACCGGCUAACUUCGUG